UCACAGUGAGGAAGCCCAAUGUUGAGUUCUUGAGGAAUUUAGGAGCUACAGAGCAAGGCAUAUAUGCUGUCUCUUUCUGUCUUGCACUCCUGUAAAUGUUAGCCUCCUUUAACAGCCUAGCUUAAACAGGAAAAGAUUUCAUUCUAAAGCAACACUGAGUGUAAGAGCCUUGAUCUUUCUCAGGCUCUACAUUAAGUUACUCUCAGUUCUCUAUUCAUAUGUAAGCUCUAAGUGCCAAACUAAAAUGCAAAAGACAUUAUUCUUACCACUCAUCAUUUUUUCAUGAGAUGCCAUUGUGCUUGUAUUUAACUUUAUGCUGCUCAUCCUUGCUAAACACAUUCAGCCCAGGAAGCUAUAAGACAUGAGUUAGGCCCACAGGCAUUGUCACAAGGUUUUACAUUGAAAAUAACAGCAAAGCUGUUCAGCUCAGCCCAGACUGUUAGAUAUACCAUCAGUCUUCUGUAAAAAUGAAAAAGCCCACUGCAUACAAUCAAGCAUGUAAGCAGUUAGAACAAGAAAAAUAUGGUUCAGUCUGUUAAGAGUUCAAAGCCUAAGCUCAAUAUGGAAUGAAAAGUGAAUGUUUUAAGUUCCUUUGUAAAACCUCUGUGCUUUGCUUUUGGGACAUCAGCAGAUUGUUGUUUGUUACCUUAGUUAUGUCUCCUCAUGGUCUCAAAAACAGAAAUUUCUUUCAAGCACAAUAGAAUGGAAAUAUAUCUGCACUCGUUAGAAGGUGAGAUGUGGGCAGAGAACCAAAAUAUGCCUGUCAAACUGGUAUGACUGCUGCAUUUACCUGAAUGGAUGUAAAUUAGCAUAUGGACAGUACUGUUUCUCUGAAUCCUGCGUAUUUUAAAGGAUAAUAACAUGCUGUACUCCAGCUAGCGGUUAGUGCAAGGAUUAAGGGCAUCUUGGCAUUAAGGUCAAUAAAAUGUAGUUGGACUCAGUUCAUAGGCAUCUAAAACUAUGCUUUCUGACGUUUCAGCACUGCUUUCACCCAUGUGAUUCAUGCUUACAUGCCACCUGCAGCUGUAAUUAUCUGGGUUAAGUGUAAAGUUUUCUUGGGAACUUCUCUGUGGGCUCUUAGCAGCUCAUUUACCUGUGCUGCUGUAGGAAUUGAUGCAGACCUUAUUUCCUGUGGAAGGUCAUAGCUGCUGAUGCAUUUAACCAAGUCAUCUCCUGCUGCAGGCAUGUGCCAGGAUGCCAUCCAGAGGGACCUGGACAGGCUUGAAAAGUGGGCCUACAACUGAGGUUCUACAAGGCCAACGGCUAGGUGUUGCACUUCGGUCAGGACAAUCCCAGCACAGCAAGGGGAACUAUCCUCAGCCCAACAGCAAAAUAUCCACUGAAGUCACCUCAGCAGCCUGCAUUUCUUCCCCAAUAAGGAUGUAGCUUAUUUCAGGAGUCCAAAGUACUUUUAAGUAUGAGAUGCAGAACAUACUCACUUUCCCCAAAGUUUUUUUCUGAAUUCUGUUCUUAUUUAUUACUUGGCUACAGUAAUAGUGUAUUGUAUAAAAUUAUAUAAAACAAGAUUGUACUAUGCAAAGGGCCCAGUGUAUUUAAUAAACAUGUCCCAUGGUGUCUGGAUUGUUACAUACCAAAUGCCAGGGGCCAAA